rnacentral:tRNA from 1 species
GGCUGCUUGGCGCAAUGGUAGCGCGCAGACCUCCUAAGUCUGAGGUUGUGGGUUCGAGUCCCAUAGUGGUCG